GUUCUUUUGUUUAUAUAAAAGAUUUGACCUGCCCAAUGAUUAAUAAUUAAAUGGCUGCAGUAUUUUGACUGUACAAAGGUAGCAUAAUCAUUUGUCUUUUAAUUGAAGUCUAGAAUGAAUGGUUGGAUGAGGGAUUAACUUUCUUUAUUUUAAGUGAAUGAAUUUAAUUUUUAUGUCAAAAAUCGUGGAUAUGAUUAUAGGACGAGAAGACCCUAUAGAACUUUAUUAUUUAAUUUAUAAUUUUUGAAUGGUAAUUUUAUGGUUUAUUUUUAUAAAUUAAAUAAUUUUAUUGGGGUGAUAAAAAAAAUUAUAUAACUUUUUUUCUUUAUUUACAUUUAUAUAUGUUUAUAUGAUCCUUUUUUAUGGAAUUAAGACUAAGUUACCUUAGGGAUAACAGCGUUAUUUUAUCAUAGAGUUCAUAUCGAUGAUAGAGUUUGCGACCUCGAUGUUGGAUUAAAAUAAGAGGCAGGGGUAGUUUUUUGCUUUCUGGGUCUGUUCGACCUUUAAAUUUUUACA
rnacentral:rRNA from 1 species